GCACUCCAGCCUGGCGAAAGAGUGAAACUCCAUCUUGGCGGGGGGGUGGCAGGGGGACGGAAGAAAAAAGACACAGACGUCUCAGGGCAUGGCUGCUUAGGAGGCUAUGAGGCUCUUGCCGCAAGCUUUUCCCCACUUUUCAUGGCUGCCCUCAGAGGAUAGAAUUGCCACAAUUUUAAGGAUAAAGAAACAGGCUUGGAGAGGCCAGAGGCUUGCGCAAUACCACACAAACAGGGGUGCCUUUGUGUUUCUGGGUCAAUGCUGUUUUUCACACAGACUGGACCUCGUGGGGGUCAGGAGCAGUGGGACCACCUCGUGCUCUCUCUGUGCUCAUACCUUCUCAUGGUGUCGAUCUCUCCUUGCCUCCCAGACAGAGCAACGCGUGCUUGCCACCUUGAUGGUGCAAAUGUCACUCGAUCUGAAUUUGAGGAACUGUCAUGCUCUUCCCUAAGCUUUCCUGCCAUCCCAAUCAACCAGCUAACACCACAGGAUCAAGUCUGAUUUUCAAUGUCUGUGACCCCAACUUCUGGCUGCACAUGGAAUAUACAUGGAAAAUGGAUUAAUAUUUGUUGACUGCUCACUACGUGCCAGACUUGGUGCAAAGCAUUUAAAAUAGUUCAUUAAUCACCUUCUCCAUACUUCCUGUGAUGUCCCCAAGGCUGUUCUAAAAGGAAUCCUCCUGACCCCCUGACCAUUCCUGAAGGGAGGCAAGGGGCCGGAAAGGCUUGGCAGUCCAGUUUUUUGCCUCAGCUCAUAUCAAUCAGUAAAGCUGUAUUGGUUUUACAAUUGAAGCCUUGCACAUUUCUUAUUGGACCUAUUUGUAGAUGUUUGAUCUUUCUGUGUACAGUAAAUGGGAUUUCUUUUCUGGGAUGCUUUGAAAUUGGCUAUUGCUGGUGUAUUGGAAAAUGAUUUUGUAUGUUGAUUUUUCACUUGGCAACUUUCUAUGCUCUCACUUUUAAUUCAUUUUAAAAUUUAUUCUCUUUGAUUUUCUUAGUAGGUAAUCAUGUAGCUGAUAAUGAUAAUUUUUUCAGAGCCAUAUUAAAAUACAAUUCACAUACUGUUA